GAUGAACGCUGGCGGCGUGCCCAACACAUGCAAGUCGAACGGAAAGGCCCAAGCUUGCUUGGGUUCUUGAGUGGCGAACGGGUGAGUAACACGCGGGUGAUAUGCCCUGCACUUCGGGAUAAGCCUUGGAAACUGGGUCUAAUAUAGGAUAGGACGAUGGUUUGGACGUCAUUGUGGAAAGUUUUUGCGUUGUGGGAUGAGCUCGCGGCCGAUCAGCUUGUUGGAGGGGUAUUGGCCUAUCACGGCGUCGACGGGUAGCCGGCCUGAGCGGGUGUACGGCCACAUUGGAACUGUGAGACGGGCCAGACUCGGGCGGGAUGCAGCAGGGGGGAAUAUUUCACAAUGGGCGCAAGCCUGAUGCAGCGACGCCGCGUGGGGGAUGACGGCCUUCAGGUUGUAAGCUCCUUUCGCUAAGGACGAGGCGUUUUUGUGACGGUACCUGGAGAAGAAGCACCGGCUAACUACGUG
rnacentral:rRNA from 1 species